GACGAACCGUGCGAACGUUGUUCGGAAUCACUGGGCUUAAAGGGCGCGUAGGCGGGCCAUCAAGUCAGGGGUGAAAUCCUCCAGCUCAACUGGAGAACUGCCUUUGAUACUGGUGGUCUUGAGUGGGGUAGGGGCAUGCGGAACAAUGGGUGGAGCGGUGAAAUGCGUUGAUAUCCAUUGGAACUCCGGUGGCGAAAGCGGCGUGCUGGACCUCUACUGACGCUGAGGCGCGAAAGCCAGGGGAGCAAAC
rnacentral:rRNA from 1 species